AAGCCUCAAGUUAUGUGUGACAACCCCCUGAAUUUAAGCAUAUUAAUAAGGGGAGGAAAAGAAACCAACCGGGAUUCCCUGAGUAGCUGCGAGCGAAACGGGAGAAGCUCAGCACGUAGGGAUGGCGGCCCGCCCGUCUAUCCGAUUCCGUGUACUGGUACGUCUCACUAUCCGUCUUCCUAGUGGUAUUCAAGUCCAACUUGAACGUGGCUUUGAACCCAUAGAGGGUGAUAGGCCCGUAGAACACCACCCAGCGGUUGAUGGACCGAGCGUACCAUGGAGUCGUGUUGCUUGAUAGUACAGCACAAAGUGGGAGGUAAACUCCUUCUAAAGCUAAAUACGACCAUGAGACCGAUAGUAAACAAGUACCGUGUGGGAAAGUUGAAAAGCACUCUGAAUAGAGAGUCAAAUAGUACGUGAAACUGCCAGGGUGUAAAGCCUGUUGAACUCGAUUAUCCGUAGUUCCUGGCAUCGUGGGUUUUGGCUGUCACGCAGAAGGGGGCCUUCUGUAUGCCUUGACCCUAGCCAGGAACGAGGGCGGACAUCGUGAUCCAUUACGCAAACCAAAUGCGAGCGGCGACUCCGGUUGCUGCGAGCAUAUCCAACAUCAGGUCCCAGAACAUGCGGUCGACCCUCUAGUAGUGGCGCUCAGCUUAAGGCCGGCGUCGCGAACGGGGGAUCGAGGCUCCGGUCUCGAGUUCGGCUAGUUCCGGUGUGCCGUUGGAUGCGUGAUGGGCAUUGAAGUGAACU
rnacentral:ncRNA from 1 species